GUCCUGUCCCGAAACCCAAUUUGGAUUUCCCGGCUUAGUAUGAGGGAUAAAUAUACCUAUCGAAUCUUAAUAA
rnacentral:tRNA from 1 species